CCUACGGGAGGCAGCAGUAGGGAAUAUUGCACAAUGGGCGAAAGCCUGAUGCAGCAACGCCGCGUGCGCGAUGAAGGUCUUCGGAUCGUAAAGCGCUUUUCUGGGAGAUGAGAAAGGACAGUAUCCCAGGAAUAAGUCUCGGCUAACUACGUGCCAGCAGCCGCGGUAAAACGUAGGAGGCAAGCGUUAUCCGGAUUCACUGGGCGUAAAGCGCGUGCAGGCGGUUCGGUAAGUUGGGCGUGAAAGCUCCCGGCUCAACUGGGAGAGGUCGUCCAAUACUACCGGACUUGAGAGCGAUAGAGGAAAAUGGAAUUCCCGGUGUAGUGGUGAAAUGCGUAGAUAUCGGGAGGAACACCAGUGGCGAAAGCGGCUUUCUGGACCGUUUCUGACGCUCAGACGCGAAAGCUAGGGGAGCAAACGGGAUUAGAGACCCCGGUAGUCCUAGCCGUAAACGAUGUGAACUUGGCGUCGGUGGCUUAAACUCCCUCGGUGCCGCAGCUAACGCGAUAAGUUCUCCCCCUGGGGACUACGGCCGCAAGGUUAAAACUCAAAGGAAUUGACGG
rnacentral:rRNA from 1 species